rnacentral:rRNA from 1 species
GAUGAACGCUGGCGGCGUGCCUAAUACAUGCAAGUCGAACGCAUAGCGAAAGGUGCUUGCACCUUUCAAGUGAGUGGCGAACGGGUGAGUAACACGUGGACAACCUGCCUCGAGGCUGGGGAUAACAUUUGGAAACAGAUGCUAAUACCGAAUAAAACUUAGUGUCGCAUGACACAAAGUUAAAAGGCGCUUCGGCGUCACCUAGAGAUGGAUCCGCGGUGCAUUAGUUAGUUGGUGGGGUAAAGGCCUACCAAGACAAUGAUGCAUAGCCGAGUUGAGAGGCUGAUCGGCCACAUUGGGACUGAGACACGGCCCAAACUCCUACGGGAGGCUGCAGUAGGGAAUCUUCCACAAUGGGCGAAAGCCUGAUGGAGCAACGCCGCGUGUGUGAUGAAGGCUUUCGGGUCGUAAAGCACUGUUGUAUGGGAAGAACAGCUAGAAUAGGAAAUGAUUUUAGUUUGACGGUACCAUACCAGAAAGGGACGGCUAAAUACGUG